GAUGGACGCUGGCGGCGUGCCUAAUACAUGCAAGUCGAGCGAACAGACGAGGAGCUUGCUCCUCUGACGUUAGCGGCGGACGGGUGAGUAACACGUGGAUAACCUACCUAUAAGACUGGGAUAACUUCGGGAAACCGGAGCUAAUACCGGAUAAUAUAUUGAACCGCAUGGUUCAAUAGUGAAAGACGGUUUUGCUGUCACUUAUAGAUGGAUCCGCGCCGCAUUAGCUAGUUGGUAAGGUAACGGCUUACCAAGGCAACGAUGCGUAGCCGACCUGAGAGGGUGAUCGGCCACACUGGAACUGAGACACGGUCCAGACUCCUACGGGAGGCAGCAGUAGGAAAUCUUCCGCAAUGGGCGAAAGCCUGACGGAGCAACGCCGCGUGAGUGAUGAAGGUCUUCGGAUCGUAAAACUCUGUUAUUAGGGAAGAACAAAUGUGUAAGUAACUAUGCACGUCUUGACGGUACCUAGUCAGAAAGCCACGGCUAACUACGUG
rnacentral:rRNA from 1 species